GACGAACGCUGGCGGCGUGCCUAACACAUGCAAGUCGAGCGGGUUGAAGCGAGGGGUAACUCGAACUUCUACCUAGCGGCGGACGGGUGAGUAACGCGUGGGCAACCUGCCUCAAGGAUCGGGAUAACAGCUCGAAAGGGCUGCUAAUACCGGAUAUGCCUAUGGCCUCGCAUGGGGCUGUGGGCAAAGGGGAAACCCGCCUUGAGAUGGGCCCGCGUCCCAUCAGCUAGUUGGUGAGGUGAAGGCUCACCAAGGCGACGACGGGUAGCCGGCCUGAGAGGGUGACCGGCCACACUGGGACUGAGACACGGCCCAGACUCCUACGGGGGGCAGCAGUGGGGGAUCUUGCACAAUGGGCGAAAGCCUGAUGCAGCGACGCCGCGUGAGCGAAGAAGGCCUUCGGGUUGUAAAGCUCUGUCUGGAGGGACGAAGAAAGUGACGGUACCUCCGGAGGAAGCCACGGCUAACUACGUG
rnacentral:rRNA from 1 species